UGCUGCCUACGGGGGGCAGCAGUGGGGAAUAUUGCACAAUGGGGGAAACCCUGAUGCAGCAACGCCGCGUGAAGGAAGACGGUUUUCGGAUUGUAAACUUCUUUUCUUAGUGAAGAAGCAAGUGACGGUAGCUAAAGAAUAAGCAUCGGCUAACUACGUGCCAGCAGCCGCGGUAAUACGUAGGAUGCGAGCGUUAUCCGGAAUUACUGGGUGUAAAGGGAGCGCAGGCGGGACUGCAAGUUGGAUGUGAAAUAACGCAGCUUAAAUGCUGAGCUGCAUCCA
rnacentral:rRNA from 1 species